CUGGUAAUGAUGUAUACCUGGCAGCUGACAGUCAAAUCUUAUGAAGGAUUAAAACAUAAAGUUUGUAUUAAAGGUCAAAACAGUCACAAGCCUGCUCAAAUUCGAAAAGAGGGGACGGAAAUGGAACCUCUUCAUGGGAGGAAGAAACAGGGUCUUGCUCUGUUGCCCUGGCUGGAGUGCAAUGGUAUGAUCAUAGCUCACUGUAGCCUUGAACUCCUGGCCUCAAGCCAUCCCCCUACCUCAGCCUCCAGAGUAGCUGGGAUUGCAGGUGAAUGCCACCACACCUGGAAUUGGAAAGAUGAGUGUAAUUUGACAUAUGUCUUGAGUCUGGUUGGCUUCUGAGAAACUUGUGUGCAUCUCAUCAGUAUGCAUCUUAAGAACUAAUAUUACCCUACUUCAGCAUUGUGAGAAGACAUGCAUUCUCUUCUUAUAAAUAAUGUGGAUCUUACAUGUAAAGUAUUACAAAGAUUAGCUGUUUAACAACUUAAAUAAGCUUGUGAAUAAUAAAUUACUAACCAUGUUAUGCUAAUACGUAACUAUGAUAUUUGCUGAACAAAAUAAAUUUGCCUACUUUGGAAGGAGAUUGGGUGAUUUAAUAUAUCAGCAAAAGAGCGUUUUUUAAAAAUAUCAAAGUUCUGUUAAUCAAAAUGUUUAAGACAGUAAUGUUUUGUUUGCCAACUUACAUUACAAAGUCUCUGUCUUAAAUGUUUCCUUGCAAAUAAAAUGACAAUACUGCCUUACAUUUUAUUACUUUAGAGUUUGCAAAAUAUCUUCAUUAUAAUAUUUCAUUUAGUAGACAUGCCUAUGGGAACAUUACUUCCAGAAUUAAAAACAUUAUUUUUGUUUUGGUAUAUUUUUAAACUACAAAUGAUAGAAAGGCAAGUAUAUGUAAGUUUUUCUCUAGUUAUUUGUUCAAAUGCUAAUUUAAAACAUUUGUACAUUUCUAAUACAAAGAUUCCUUAUUUGAGAAAAAAUGGAUUUCUUAAAAACGAAAUGCGUUUUAGCAGAGAGACAGGGCAUUGAGCUGAAAAUGGUGUCUGGAAGUUGGGAUCUGUAAGAGAAGUUGAAUGUGCCCCGAGGCAUAAAGCUGCUAAUUUUGUUUUAUUGGAUUUUACUGUAGCUAUUAAUAUAUUUUGCUGGAGAUUUAUGUGAUCAAUUUAUCUUAUGGCCAGAACUAAUUCCCUUAGUAUAUUUUAUUAGAAUAUGUGACUUUUUCUAAAUUUAGCUUUAUUUUUCAUAUUUUCCAUAAAUGGCAAAUAUCCUAUGUUUCCAGACAUGUUAAGUAUUGCAAGAAUUAUUUGAGCACCUAAAGAUAAAUAAUAUCAAAAUAGUAUCAUUGUUUCCCUUAGUUUCUCCUUCUCCCCCACAAAUAAACCAAGAGGUAUUUAGUUAUACUAUUGCGUCUCUCUAGCUUUAUUAGAUUCUUCCAUGAAAGACAAAUGGAUUACAUUUUUGGUUGUGUGGCCCUCAUUGCCCUAUUGCACUUUUGAUAAUAUUUGCCUGUGACAAGUAGUUAUUUUUCAUUACCACAUUCAAUCAUGGGUAAUAAAAUAUUUUAAUAAUGGUG